rnacentral:rRNA from 1 species
UGAGGAAUAUUGGACAAUGGGCGCAAGCCUGAUCCAGCCAUGCCGCGUGCAGGAUGACGGUCCUAUGGAUUGUAAACUGCUUUUGUACAGGAAGAAACACUCCCUCGUGAGGGAGCUUGACGGUACUGUAAGAAUAAGGAUCGGCUAACUCCGUGCCAGCAGCCGCGGUAAUACGGAGGAUCCAAGCGUUAUCCGGAAUCAUUGGGUUUAAAUGGUCCGUAGGCGGUUUAAUAAGUCAGUGGUGAAAGC